UACGGGUGGCGCAAGUGUUAUUCCUCUUGAUUGGGCGUAAAGGGUGCGUAGGCUGCGUGUUAAGUCGGAAAUCAAAAACUAUGCUAUUCAAUUGUAUUUUUCCGAAACUGUCACGCUUGAGUAAUGAUAAGGAUAGCGGAACUUCACGCAUCAGAGUUAAAAUGCGUUUACACGUGAGGGAACCCCAAAGGCGAAGGCAGCUAUCCAGUCAUUUCUGACGCUGAGGCACGAGGCAUGGGUAUCAAAUGGG
rnacentral:misc_RNA from 1 species